UACGUAGGGGGCAAGCGUUGUCCGGAAUCAUUGGGCGUAAAGCGCGUGUAGGCGGCUUGGUAAGUCCGCUCUGAAAGCCCGGGGCUCAACCCCGGGAGGCGGGUGGAUACUGUCAAGCUCGAGUCCGGAAGAGGCGAGUGGAAUUCCUGGUGUAGCGGUGAAAUGCGCAGAUAUCAGGAGGAACACCGGUGGCGAAGGCGGGUCUCUGGGCCGAUACUGACACUGAGAAGCGAAAGCGUGGGGAGCGAACAGG
rnacentral:rRNA from 1 species